CCUACGGGUGGCAGCAGUGAGGAAUAUUGGUCAAUGGACGAGAGUCUGAACCAGCCAAGUAGCGUGAAGGAUGAAUGCCCUAUGGGUUGUAAACUUCUUUUAUAAAGGAAUAAAACGAGGCACGUGUGCCUUUUUGCAUGGACGUUAUGAAUAAGGAUCGGCUAACUCCGUGCCAGCAGCCGCGGUAAUACGGAGGAUCCGAGCGUUAUCCGGAUUUAUUGGGUUUAAAGGGAGCGUAGAUGGGUUGUUAAGUCAGUUGUGAAAGUUUGCGGCUCAACCGGAAAAUUGCAGUUGAUACUGGCAGUCUUGAUUACAGUUGAGGUAGGCGGAAUUCGUGGUGUCGCGGUGAAAUGCUUAGAUAUCACGAAGAACUCCGAUUGCGAAGGCAGCUUACUAAACUGCCACUGACAUUGCUGCUCGAAAGUGUGGGUAUCAAACAGGCUUAGAUACCCGAGUAGUC
rnacentral:rRNA from 1 species